rnacentral:rRNA from 1 species
GACGAACGCUGGCGGCGUGCCUAAUACAUGCAAGUCGAACGCAGUGGGGACGGGUGAGUAACACGUGGGUAACCUCCCAUCAGAGGGGAUAACACUUGGAAACAGGUGCUAAACCGAUACUGAUGGAUGGACCAGCGGUGCAUUAGCUAGUAGGUGAGGUAACGGCUCACCAAGGCGACGAGUCAUAGCCGACCUGAGAGUGUGAGCUGCCACAUGGGGACUGAGACACGGCCCAGACACCUACGGGAGGCAGCAGUAGGCACUCUUCGGCAAUGGACGAAAGUCUGACCGAGCAACGCCGCGUGAGUGAAGAAGGUUUGCGGAUCGUAAAACUCUGUUGUUAGAGAAGCGGUAUCUAACCAGAAAGCCACGGCUAACUACGUGCCAGCAGCCGCGGUAAUUC